UCCCAGACUACAUGAAGAAUAGAAGUCCUACCUCAAGUGGUUUAAAAACCAAGCAGCAGCAAGCAAGUUCUUAAAGAACUGUAAGCGACUAAAUGUACCUGAAAUCAAUCAAGUAUCAUCAGUACUCAGCCAGACAACAAUAAACAGCAAAUGUUAAUCAGUCAGACUAUACAAUCAAGCAACACAGGUUAAUGCACAUAAGUGCAAGCUAUAAGCUCAAGCUCAAGCUUCACAACCUACAAAACAAAGUUAUGUUAGUUCUCCACAUCAAACAAACUCAAUUUUAUUGACUUGAAUCAUUCUCCUUAAGCUUUGUGCAUUUCAUCCUGAAAAGUCAAACCAAAUGUG
rnacentral:lncRNA from 1 species